GAUGAACGCUGGCGGCGUGCCUAAUACAUGCAAGUCGAGCGAACAGACGAGGAGCUUGCUCCUCUGACGUUAGCGGCGGACGGGUGAGUAACACGUGGAUAACCUACCUAUAAGACUGGGAUAACUUCGGGAAACCGGAGCUAAUACCGGAUAAUAUAUUGAACCGCAUGGUUCAAUAGUGAAAGACGGUUUUGCUGUCACUUAUAGAUGGAUCCGCGCCGCAUUAGCUAGUUGGUAAGGUAACGGCUUACCAAGGCGACGAUGCGUAGCCGACCUGAGAGGGGGAUCGGCCACACUGGAACUGAGACACGGUCCAGACGCCUACGGGAGGCAGCAGUAGGGAAUCUUCCGCAAUGGGCGAAAGCCUGACGGAGCAACGCCGCGUGAGUGAUGAAGGUCUUCGGAUCGUAAAACUCUGUUAUUAGGGAAGAACAAAUGUGUAAGUAACUAUGCACGUCUUGACGGUACCUAAUCAGAAAGCCACGGCUAACUACGUG
rnacentral:rRNA from 1 species